AGGACGAACGCUGGCGGCGUGCUUAACACAUGCAAGUCGAGCGGAAAGGCCCUUCGGGGUACUCGAGCGGCGAACGGGUGAGUAACACGUGAGUAACCUGCCCCUAGCUCUGGGAUAGCUCCGGGAAACCGGGAUUAAUACCAGAUACGACCACUUUAGACAUCUGUCGUGGUGGAAAGGAUUCCGGCUAGGGAUGGGCUCGCGGCCUAUCAGCUUGUUGGUGGGGUAACGGCCUACCAAGGCGACGACGGGUAGCCGGCCUGAGAGGGCGACCGGCCAACGACUGGGACUGAGACACGGCCCAGACUCCUACGGGAGGCAGCAGUGGGGAAUAUUGCGCAAUGGGCGAAAGCCUGACGCAGCGACGCCGCGUGGGGGAUGAAGGCCUUCGGGUUGUAAACCCCGUUUCAGCAGGGACGAAGCGAAAGUGACGGUACCUGCAGAAGAAGCGCCGGCUAACUACGUGCCAGCAGCCGC
rnacentral:rRNA from 1 species